GAACUCAUCUUCGGGGGUAGAGCACUGUUUCGGCUAGGGGGUCAUCCCGACUUACCAACCCGAUGCAAACUACGAAUACCGAAGAAUGUUAUCACGGGAGACACACGGCGGGUGCUAACGUCCGUCGUGAAGAGGGAAACAACCCAGACCGCCAGCUAAGGUCCCAAAGUCAUGGUUAAGUGGGAAACGAUGUGGGAAGGCCCAGACAGCCAGGAUGUUGGCUUAGAAGCAGCCAUCAUUUAAAGAAAGCGUAAUAGCUCACUGGUCGAGUCGGCCUGCGCGGAAGAUGUAACGGGGCUAAACCAUGCACCGAAGCUGCGGCAGCGACACUAUGUGUUGUUGGGUAGGGGAGCGUUCUGUAAGCCUG
rnacentral:rRNA from 1 species